rfam:Trichobilharzia regenti genome assembly, scaffold: TRE_scaffold0004962
GUACUGCUGAAGAGUCCCAAACUAGGACGGGGGAAACAGCUGUCCAGUAC